rnacentral:lncRNA from 1 species
AGAAGGUAUCUUUCUAUGGACCCGUUUGGCCUAGUUUCUGAAAAAGUGAUUUAGGUUAAAAGCUGUAGAGCGUUUGGCUGAAUUUAGAUAGAAGCGAUUUUUCUGAAGUGAUUUUGAAAAAUUGUUUGGCAAAAUUUUUUUAUAUUUGCAUAAAUUAAUUAUUUUAUUAAAUUUUAUUUUAAAAUAAUUUUUGAGAUACUUUUACCAAACACUUUAUUGAGCCUAAAAGUAAUUUUCAGCCGAAAAUCACUUUGAA